UACGAAGGGGGCUAGCGUUGCUCGGAAUCACUGGGCGUAAAGCGCACGUAGGCGGGUUGCUAAGUCAGGGGUGAAAUCCUGGAGCUCGACUCCAGAACUGCCUUUGAUACUGGCGGCCUUGAGUCCGGGAGAGGUGAGUGGAACUGCGAGUGUAGAGGUGAAAUUCGUAGAUAUUCGCAAGAACACCAGUGGCGAAGGCGGCUCACUGGCCCGGUACUGACGCUGAGGUGCGAAAGCGUGGGGAGCGAACAGG
rnacentral:rRNA from 1 species